UGGGGAAUAUUGCGCAAUGGCCGAAAGGCUGACGCAGCGACGCCGCGUGGGGGAUGAAGCAUUUCGGUGUGUAAACCCCUGUUGCCCGGGACGAACAAGCAGAUUUUUCUGCUCUUACGGUACCGGGUGAGGAAGCACCGGCUAACUCCGUGCCAGCAGCCGCGGUAAUACGGAGGGUGCGAGCGUUGUCCGGAAUCACUGGGCGUAAAGGGCGCGUAGGCGGUCUGCUAAGCGUGCGGUGAAAGCCCGGGGCUCAACCCCGGGUCUGCCGUGCGAACUGGUGGACUAGAGCACUGUAGAGGCAGGUGGAAUUCCGGGUGUAGCGGUGGAAUGCGUAGAGAUCCGGAAGAACACCGGUGGCGAAGGCGGCCUGCUGGGCAGUAGCUGACGCUGAGGCGCGACAGCGUGGGGAGCAAACA
rnacentral:rRNA from 1 species